CGUGGAAAGUCGGUCCCCAACCCAACCCCGCCAACUUUACGCUGGAAUCGGACUAUAAAUCAGCUUUUAUACGCGCGAUCUGAGGGGGCGAGUCGAUUUUCACGCGCGACACCGGCCAAACGAAACGAAAUUUUUACUUAUUCGCGCUUCUGACCGUGGCUGAAGGGAGGUUUUAAAAUAUGGCCUCGUCACUAACGCGCGAAAAAUAUCUAUUAGUCACAAUUAGAGUUACCGAAACUCUGGCAUUUUCGAAAAUUCGAACCGCUAGUAAGGAAGAACCCAAAUGCCCAACUUUUUCCAUAAAUAUUAUUUAUUGAGUGGUGGCGCUGGAAAGUCCGCUAAUGGCGGUCGACUCGAUUACGGUGGCCAUCCACGGGCUAAUUAUUAACAUAAUUUAACGUUACAUAUUAUAACAUUAUUUUAAAGGCUUAAAAAUGUUAUUAGCCAUGGUUACCAGGUUAUUUAUAGGAGUUCGUAGAGGAGUCUAGGUCUUUCUUUAAAGGGUUUAUUCGAUUUAAGUCGCCAGUCUUGGAACGAAUUAACCAACGUAAGGCGAGGUAUGAAGUACGACCGAUAAUCUAUUGUAGAUCGAUACUUGUCUUUAUUAAUAGUCAAUCUGUUUAGGCUAUUUAGUUAGAUAUGUCGAUUCACUCGAAAAUGGUGAUGAUUAUCCGCUUCUGUAUUAUCGUAUCGGUUAUCCGUGGCUCCUCAACUUCCACCUUCCAAUUUUCGUCCGAAAUAGAACUAACGUUAAAAAAUCGGCCAAAUUUGGCACCGCCAGUUUUAUCAAUCCUUUUUGAAUAUACCGUCUGCCGAUGUGUGAAAAGAUAUCUUCCUCCGAAACGAUUGAAAGAUCCAGAAAUAACCAUCUUUAAAAAUUCCGUCAGCUAAGCGUAAAUUAUAUGGCUUUCCCCCUUUUCUGCCCAUCCGCUGGAGUGGGGGUUCGAUGGUUCCAUCGUAACGGAUGAUCCUAAGUAGGUAAAUUCGGUCGGGCCGACGUUCGUCGCCAUAAACACGGUUUCCAAACCGUUUUGUAUUCGUCGAUUCUCUUUGGCCCUACACGUGCAGGAUUUAAAAUACGCGUACGGUUAGCCUGGCCAUCGAAAACUCGAAAAAUGUUUUUUUUUUUUCUUUGUCGACAGAUGAUGCCACUUUCCACUCGAUAAGAGUACUAAAUAGCGGGGUCGAAACCGGCUGCCUACCC
rnacentral:lncRNA from 1 species